UACGUAGGGGGCUAGCGUUGUCCGGAAUCAUUGGGCGUAAAGAGCGCGUAGGCGGCCAGAUAAGUCCGGUGUGAAAGUCAAAGGCUCAACCUUUGAAUGCCGCUGGAAACUGUCUGGCUAGAGUCCGGGAGGGGCGAGUGGAAUUCCUGGUGUAGCGGUGAAAUGCGCAGAUAUCAGGAGGAACACCAAUGGCGAAGGCAGCUCGCUGGAACGGUACUGACGCUGAGGCGCGAAAGCCGUGGGGAGCGAACAGG
rnacentral:rRNA from 1 species